UUGCUUGAUCAUUUUGAAGAGCAAUUUGGUGAAUUGCGUGCUUGGAAAGGGUAUUCUUCCGAUGUAAUUCCCUGUCUUUUUUGGAGUUUUGCAUCUGGAAAUCACUUCGGAAAAAAGUUGUUUCUGAUAUAUCCCGGCGUGUCGUCUCACUUUCUUCAUUUGAUGGAUACUCAAGGUAUUUUUCAUGCACGGGCUUGUUUAUAAAGUGGCCUGGAAGCAGCGGAACACGCUCAGUCAUUCUGACUUCGGCCUGUUUGGUUAGAAGUCGUCGUAAUGCAGAGAACAUUGAUAAUGACUUGAGGAUUGAGGUGUUUCUCCCACCAAAACAACGUGCCAAUGGGAGAUUGGAAUUUUACAACUUAAACUACAACAUUGCUAUUGUCAGCGUCGAGAAGAGUUUUCAUCGUAUAUAUCCAGAAGAUAUUUUCAACACAGCACACCGGUCAUUAGAGAAGUUAGUAGUUGCUAUAGGACGUGAAGCUAACGAAGGACUAUUAAUGGCCUCACGUGGUGAAGUGAAGCGUAGAAACAAGGAUAGUGAACUUGAUUGCAGAGCUCUUAAGCUGUCCACAUGUAAA